AACGGCUGGCGGCGUGCCUAACACAUGCAAGUCGAACGGGGUAAUUCCUUCGGGGAUUACUUAGUGGCGAACGGGUGAGUAACGCGUGAGAAACCUGCCUUUCAGUGGGGGACAACAGUUGGAAACGACUGCUAAUACCGCAUAAUGUAUCGAGGGGGCAUCCCCAUGAUACCAAAGAUUUAUUGCUGAAAGAUGGUCUCGCGUCUGAUUAGCUAGUUGGCGGGGUAACGGCCCACCAAGGCGACGAUCAGUAGCCGGUCUGAGAGGAUGAACGGCCACAUUGGGACUGAGAUACGGCCCAGACUCCUACGGGAGGCAGCAGUGGGGAAUAUUGGGCAAUGGGCGAAAGCCUGACCCAGCAACGCCGCGUGAAGGAAGAAGGUCUUCGGAUUGUAAACUUCUUUUAUAAGGGAAGAAAAAUGACUGUACCUUAUGAAUAAGCCACGGCUAACUACGUG
rnacentral:rRNA from 1 species